rnacentral:lncRNA from 1 species
AUGUGUAGUUCAAAUUUUAAUAUUAACAAAUCGUUCCAUAAAAAAACAUCUAUUAACAAAGAUAACAAUAAUCAUAAUAGUAAUAUUGAUGAGGAAGAAGAGUUUUUUUCAUAUGAAUAUAUUAAGGAUAGUUCAAAAGAAAAUAGAAGUUUAUCUUUACAAUUUAACAAAGUUAAUGAAUCAGAGCAUUUAAAGAAUCUUUUUAAAAAUAUGGAAAUGAAAUAUAAAAUAGGUACAAAUACCAAUGAAGCGGCAGACAUAUAUACAAAUGAAAUCGACUUACAAAUUAAACAACAAAAAGAAAAAAAAGAAGGGGAAAAAAAAGAAGGGGAAAAAAAAGAAGGAGAAAAAAAAGAAGGAGAAAAAAAAGAAGGAGAAAAAAAAGAAGGGGAAAAAAAAGAAGGGGAAAAAAAAGAAGGGGGAAAAAAAAAAGGAGAAAAAAAAGAAGGAGAAAAAAAAGAAGGGGAAAAAAAAGAAGGAGAAAAAAAAGAAGGAGAAAAAAAAGAAGGGGAAAAAAAAAAAGGAGAAAAAAAAGAAGGGGAAAAAAAAAAAGGAGAAAAAGAGGAAGGAGAAAAAAAAGAAGGGGAAAAAAAAAAAAGAGAAAAAGAGAAAGAAGAAAAAGAGGAAGUGCAAAAAGAGAAAGAAGAAAAUAGAACUUUUAAAGAUAACUUAGAAAAUGAAAAUAAAACUGAAUUGAAUACAAAAGAAAUAGAUUUAGUAGAUAAUAUCGGUAUAAAACAAAAAUUUCGACAUAGGUUUCAUAAAAUAAAAAAUAAAAUAAAACAGAACUUUAAUAUAUAUGAUAAUAAAAAAAUUAUAGUUGAUAAAAACCAUUGUAUGGAAAAAGAGAAUGCAAUAAAAAACUCCUUUUUAAAAACUAAAAACAAUAUUUCAACAUAUAAUUAUGAAAAUAGUAGUAGUUCAUCCAAACUUUCCGAAUCUAAUGAAUAUAAAAAUAAAAAUAUUAAAGAAAUAUGUAUAUUGAUUAAUUUUUCUUAUAACAAUAUGUUUGAUAUAUUUAAUUAUCCUGAUAAUUUUAAUGAUAAAAAAAAAAAAAAAAAUUUACAUUUAUUCACAAAAUUUUUUAUUCUUUACAUAUAUUUUUUAAUUCUUUCUCUACUUUAA